rnacentral:rRNA from 1 species
UACGGAGGAUGCAAGCGUUAUCCGGAUUUAUUAGGUUUAAAGGGUGCGUAGGUGGGCGUUUAAGUCAGUGGUUAAAGCCAUUAGCUUAACUAAUGUAUGCCAUUGAUACUGGAUGUCUUGAAUGUGGUAGAGGUAGGCGGAAUGUGUUGUGUAGCGGUGAAAUGCUUAGAUAUGACGCAGAACUCCGAUUGCGAAGGCAGCUUACUGGGAUGCAACUGACGCUGAGGCACGAAAGCGUGGGUAUCAAACAGGAUUA